UGUUACAAAAUUCAUUAAUUUCUAUUAUUAAAAAUUAACGUGGCUGACGGAAUAACCAGAUAGUUACACGUGGUGUGUCCUAUAUACAUCAUUCUAACAUAUAAAGACUAGUUUUUUAAAGUAAAAAUGGAUGGAAGUUUUAAUG
rfam:Gossypium raimondii Chr04_contig_1093, whole genome shotgun sequence.